UACGAAGGGGGCUAGCGUUGUUCGGAAUUACUGGGCGUAAAGCGCACGUAGGCGGAUCGAUCAGUCAGGGGUGAAAUCCCAGAGCUCAACUCUGGAACUGCCUUUGAUACUGUCGAUCUAGAGUAUGGAAGAGGUGAGUGGAAUUCCGAGUGUAGAGGUGAAAUUCGUAGAUAUUCGGAGGAACACCAGUGGCGAAGGCGGCUCACUGGUCCAUUGCUGACGCUGAGGUGCGAAAGCGUGGGGAGCAAACAGG
rnacentral:rRNA from 1 species